AUUGAACGCUGGCGGCAGGCCUAACACAUGCAAGUCGAGCGAGCGGCGGACGGGUGAGUAAUGUCUGGGAAACUGCCUGAUGGAGGGGGCGAAAUACAGGAAACGGUAGCUAAUACCGCAUACCAUCAGAUGGGCCCAGAUGGGAUUAUCUAGUAGGUGGGGUAACUGCUCACCUAGGCGACGAUCCCUAGCUGGUCUGAGAGGAUGACCAGCAACACUGGAACGGAGCCACGGUCCAGACUCCUACGGGAGGCAGCAGUGGGGAAUAGUGCACAAUGGGCGCAAGCCUGAUGCUGCCAUGCCGCGUGUGUGAAGAAGGCCUUCGGGUUGUAAAGCACUUUCAGCGGGGAGGCGUUACCCGCAGAAGAAGCACCGGCUAACUCCGUGCCAGCCGCCGCGGUAAUUC
rnacentral:rRNA from 1 species